rnacentral:rRNA from 1 species
UACGUAGGGUGCGAGCGUUAAUCGGAAUUACUGGGCGUAAAGCGUGCGCGGGCGGCGCGUUAAGACAGGUGUGAAAGCCCCGAGCUUAACUUGGGAAUUGCGCUUGUGACUGGCGUGCUGGAGUGUGGCAGAGGGAGGUGGAAUUCCACGUGUAGCAGUGAAAUGCGUAGAGAUGUGGAGGAACACCGAUGGCGAAGGCAGCCUCCUGGGCCAGCACUGACGCUCAUGCACGAAAGCGUGGGGAGCAAACAGG